ACGCUGGCGGCAUGCCUAACACAUGCAAGUCGAACGGCAGCACAGUAAGAGCUUGCUCUUAUGGGUGGCGAGUGGCGGACGGGUGAGGAAUACAUCGGAAUCUACCUUUUCGUGGGGGAUAACGUAGGGAAACUUACGCUAAUACCGCAUACGACCUUCGGGUGAAAGCAGGGGACCUUCGGGCCCUUGCGCGGAUAGAUGAGCCGAUGUCGGAUUAGCUAGUUGGCGGGGUAAAGGCCCACCAAGGCGACGAUCCGUAGCUGGUCUGAGAGGAUGAUCAGCCACACUGGAACUGAGACACGGUCCAGACUCCUACGGGAGGCAGCAGUGGGGAAUAUUGGACAAUGGGCGCAAGCCUGAUCCAGCCAUACCGCGUGGGUGAAGAAGGCCUUCGGGUUGUAAAGCCCUUUUGUUGGGAAAGAAAAGCAGUCGAUUAAUACUCGGUUGUUCUGACGGUACCCAAAGAAUAAGCACCGGCUAACUUCGUGCCAGCAGCCGCGGUAAUACGAAGGGUGCGAGCGUUACUCGGAAUUACUGGGCGUAAAGCGUGCGUAGGUGGUUGUUUAAGUCUGUUGUGAAAGCCCUGGGCUCAACCUGGGAAUUGCAGUGGAUACUGGGCGACUAGAGUGUGGUAGAGGGUAGUGGAAUUCCCGGUGUAGCAGUGAAAUGCGUAGAGAUCGGGAGGAACAUCCAUGGCGAAGGCAGCUACCUGGACCAACACUGACACUGAGGCACGAAAGCGUGGGGAGCAAAC
rnacentral:rRNA from 1 species